GCACAUGUGAGAAGCCUGGCUCUUGAUUCCAAAGAACUUAUGUUUCAGGAGCGUGACCCUCACCAGAGGACAUUGGCCACCCUCUAGCAAGAGGAGGAGGGCAGCCUAUCCCGUUUCUCAGACGGAACCCAGACCGCACUGGGUCCUCCAGGAGACCGAGGAGCUGUCCAGGCAACUGCCCAGAGCUUGUGGGUGGCAAUGGAUUCGGAAUUUUUCAUCUACUCCGCACCAUGAAAAAUGGAUGUGUUUGGCACGAAAGUCAUUUGAACAUAAAGCCCAGCCUCGGUGGAAAGACAACCUUCGAAAAACUUUUCAAGUAACUUUACUCAUUCGCACUUGCUUCCACCGGGGAAGGUCAGGCUCAUGUGAAAGAUGGAAAUUUCCUUCACAAACCUAGAUGCUGAUGAGAUUUGUUUUUGUAGAUAAUCUGCAGCAGUGAAAUUUUUCAUAAUGUCACUGCAAAAUAAAUUAAAAUGUUCAUCUUCA
rnacentral:lncRNA from 1 species